UCUGUGUGCACGAAGAAGGUUUUCGGAUCUAUCAAGAGUGUUUCAGUAGGGAAGAAAAAAAUGACGGUACCUACAGAAGAAGCGACGGCUAAAUACGUGCCAGCAGCCGCGGUAAUA
rnacentral:rRNA from 1 species